rnacentral:rRNA from 1 species
AAGACCUUGCGCUUUUGGAGCGGCCGAUGUCUGAUUAGCUAGUUGGUGGGGUAAUGGCCUACCAAAGCUUCGAUCAGUAGCUGGUCUGAGAGGACGGCCAGCCACACUGGGACUGAGACACGGCCCAGACUCCUACGGGAGGCAGCAGUGGGGAAUUUUGGACGAUGGGCGCAAGCCUGAUCCAGCCAUGCCGCGUGAGUGAAGAAGGCCUUCGGGUUGUAAAGCUCUUUCAGCCGGGAAGAAAAGGCUGCGACUAAUAAUCGCAGUUCAUGACGGUACCGGAAGAAGAAGCACCGGCUAACUACGUGCCAGCAGCCGCGGUAAUACGUAGGGUGCGAGCGUUAAUCGGAAUUACUGGGCGUAAAGGGUGCGCAGGCGGUUUUGUAAGUCAGAUGUGAAAUCCCCGGGCUUAACCUGGGAACU